rnacentral:misc_RNA from 1 species
GAUGAAGAACGUAGCGAAAUGCGAUAAGUAGUGUGAAUUGCAGAAUUCAGUGAAUCAUCGAAUCUUUGAACGCACAUUGCGCCCCUUGGUAUUCCGAGGGGCAUGCCUGUUCGAGCGUCAUUUCAACCCUCAAGCUCUGCUUGGUCUUGGGCCUGGCCGUGAUGGCCGGUCUUAAAAUCAGUGGCGGUGCCGUCGCAGGCUCCAAGCGUAGUACAUCUCUCGCUCUGGAAACUUGGCGGUGCCUGCCAGACAACCCCUAAUUGUCUCUUUCGGUUGACCUCGGAUCAGGUAGGGAUACCCGCUGAACUUAAGCAUAUCAAUAAGCGGAGGA